rnacentral:rRNA from 1 species
UACGUAGGGGGCAAGCGUUGUCCGGAUUUAUUGGGCGUAAAGAGCGUGUAGGCGGCCGCACAGGUCCGUUGUGAAAACUGGAGGCUUAACCUUCAGACGUCGAUGGAAACCGUGCGGCUAGAGUCCGGAAGAGGAGAAUGGAAUUCCUGGUGUAGCGGUGAAAUGCGCAGAUAUCAGGAAGAACACCUAUGGCGAAAGCAGCUCGCUGGGACGGUACUGACGCUGAGACGCGAAAGCGUGGGGAGCGAACAGG